UACACUAAAAUGCGAGCAGCAACCAGUGGCAACGAAAUCUAUUCAAUUAAUCUGCUGAGCGUUAUUUUAAAUAGUACAACAAAAAACUGGUAAAAGGAAGGAAAUUUGCAUUUAUAAAACCGAGAUCACAUAUAUUUUAUAAUUUACAAAUAUAUGUAUAUUUGAGAAACAUCUGACUAUAAAAAAAGCUCGCAUUGCAAGAUUAAUUGAUUCUUAUUAUUCGCGCAUAAUUCUGAUGACUUUAAUAAACGUGAAAAUUCAUGCUAUUAAUUUUAAAAAUGAUAUAAACGUUUUGAAAUGUUAACAGAACACUCUAAUAAACAAAUGUAACAAGAAUGAAGGAAUAAAUUAAAUUUUUUUUGUUAUAAAUAUGCAGAUUAUGACAUACAUAAUGAUAAAUGACGGCAAUGCGUUAUUUAAUUUCGUUAAAAAUUUUGUAGUAGGUAAUCUUUUUUUCAAUCUCGAGUGAAAAACAUUUAUUUUUGUAAUGUCUGAACGCGGAAGCACAAUGCUUCUCGAUUGAAAACGAAACAGCAUCAGAUUUUUUUAGGCUCAUGUAUUCGAAAUGCCGACGGGUCACCACGACUCCUCUGACAACGAUAAAUCGGUAUUGGACGACGUGAAAGCGACUUUGCGUUGAAAUCGGUGCCCGAGGUUUCUCUGACAAAAAGUGAAAACGGGAAUCAGAGUCGACAACCUCCGCGUGAAAAUAUAAAGCAAGGCGCGGCAAAGAUCGUCGCGUGAAGAAAGACGUAUUCAUAAGAGAUAUCACUCGUGCCUGUCAAUAUUGUGCGACGAUAAGGAUAACUUGUUAUCAUCUCCGUUUCUAUCAGAUCUCGAGGCGUGAGAGACAUGGGAACGUGACGCAACCGCUCGCGCUAUCGACACGAUCGCAUCCAUGAUGAGAAUGCUGUACGAGUGUCGGCAGCCUCAUCAUAGAACGAGGUGUCAUUUCGAGUUCUCGUCUUCGUCAUCCGGAAACCGGUUCCCGACCGGCUGUCCGCUUGAAGUUCAUUGAUUCCCGAUGAUCCCGCGAAGCGGCUUCCUGUCUACCGCGGUUGUGAAAAAAAUAUACGCGCCGUACUGUUUUGGCCUUUUAUCACCUUUUAACGCCGCCUCAUUGGCUAACAUUGGCUUUCCCUCCGCGCGUGAAAGAGCAAGCACAUACACGAUUUACGCUCAAUCAAAUCGGCUCUUCGCGCUAAUUGGAGUCGAUCGUUAGAGGAAACCUCUACGCGGAAAGUUAUCUUUGCGCGAUUGGGGACGGGGAGCACUCAUCCGCUGGACAUUCACCACGCCUGAACACCCGUCACUACGGCCUGGAAACCAGUCGACCUGACACGUUUUGCACCGACCAGAACAAAAACCAGAUCGCAGACUGUCGUCCGCUGAAUCGGAUAUCUGGAGUAGGAUACGCAUAAUGAUUUAGCCAGCAAAACUAUCAGAUAUUUCUAUAUUGCAUGUUCACAUACGUGUAUCGUCACAUAAAAAUUUAAAUAAUCAUUUUUUAAAGUAAGAAAUUGUUUUACAAGAUUUUCUUCGUUACAAAUCUGAGUAUGUAUUGUAUAAUAGGAUGUAUUCUUUGUGUACUAAACUUUAUUUCUUUAUCCCGUUAAUAUAAUUAAAAAUUUAAUAUUUAGA